rnacentral:lncRNA from 1 species
AAGUACAGAUCAGUUUUUGUAAGUAGAAAUGAUGAAAGAACAGAUUUUUAAAACCCUAACUUUGCUACUUGUAAAUUCUGGACUGAAAUUUGGAGAGUUUCUUGUACUUUGUUUUGUGUGUGUGCUGUCGGAGUCGUGAGAGGGGAAGGAGAGAGCAGCAGGCGGCUGCUCGGCGCCGGCAACGGCGGCAGGGUCGCCUAGCCCCU